GACGAACGCUGGCGGCGUGCUUAACACAUGCAAGUCGAACGGAAAGGCCCUGCUUUUGUGGGGUGCUCGAGUGGCGAACGGGUGAGUAACACGUGAGUAACCUGCCCUUGACUUUGGGAUAACUUCAGGAAACUGGGGCUAAUACCGGAUAGGAGCUCCUGCUGCAUGGUGGGGGUUGGAAAGUUUCGGCGGUUGGGGAUGGACUCGCGGCUUAUCAGCUUGUUGGUGGGGUAGUGGCUUACCAAGGCUUUGACGGGUAGCCGGCCUGAGAGGGUGACCGGCCACAUGGGGAAGGAGAUACGGCCCAGACUCCUACGGGAGGCAGCAGUGGGGAAUAUUGCACAAUGGGCGGAAGCCUGAUGCAGCAACGCCGCGUGCGGGAUGACGGCCUUCGGGUUGUAAACCGCUUUCGCCUGUGACGAAGCGUGAGUGACGGUAAUGGGUAAAGAAGCACCGGCUAACUACGU
rnacentral:rRNA from 1 species